AGAACUUGCGGUCACACGAUGGGUGCGGUUCCCGGGGGUGUAGUUUCUGUGGACGCGGAUGCCGUACCGGAGGACCCGGUUCGGGUCGAGCAGGGUUGGCUCGAAGAUCUGUAGCGGAACACGGCUAGCUCUGAGUUCCUGGUUUUUCGAGAUCUGCUAGAGCUUGCUGCCACAUAAUGGGUGCGGUUCCCAGGGAUGCAAUACUGAUAUGGACGUGGGUGCCGUUCCGGAGGAUCCGAGCCAAGCAGGGUUGGGUAGAAGAUCUCUAUAACAGAACGCGGUUCAAAGCAACAGCCUUGAGUUCCUGGUAUUCCAAAACGUCCUUUUUAAGGAAAAUUUUACUCAAUAUCUAUAGUUUACAUUAUAUAUACACAAUAUCUAUAGUUUAUAUUAUAUAUAAAGUACUGAGUAAAAUUUCCUCAAGAAGAGUGUUUUUUAGAAUGCAACUUUAGCGUAGAAUUUUGCAUGUUCUUUGUUUGUGUUGUCUAACAAGAUAUAUUGCUUGAAAUAAUUAGGGGAUUAAUUUAAAUUUUUCCAUAUCGUCUAAUAGAUAUUUGAAUAAUUGAAUAGGCUUGAAAUAGUUUCACUUUUCUACUAAGUGCAUUCCUUUCUAAGAGGGCACUCCUUUCAUUAAUUAAAUAUUUCUUUCUGAAAUAUACCUACUUUUCAUAUCUCUUAAAUUUUUCAGUUUUUAGUGGCUUAUUUAUACAAGUUGUUACUGGAAAAUGAUUCAAAACUUUGCAGGCUUGUAGAACUCACUAAACUGAAUACAAAUUGCUUUGUUAACACAGAUUUUGAUUGACUAUGUAUUCUUAUUCGGAGUUUAAUGUGUAUUACAAAUUUGCAAAAUUCUCAACCAAAAACUUUCCAUAACACUCUGUAUAAAUGUUUAUACAGCUCUUGUUAUAUUUGAUUAAGAUAUAGAAUUAUUCAACAAAACUUUUUGGUCGUUGUGACUCCCUAAUUGUUUCAAGUAGUUUAAAAUGCGCAUCAGAAUUGCCACCGCAAGCGGAAUUCGCGACUGCUUCCCUCGCGACUUGUUUUGCGGGCGUCGUGGUUUUCAGUUUUCAGAAAUUUUUCAUUCGCAACGCGAUGUUAUUUCCACCGUAAUUAUCAAAUUUGAAGCAUACAUUUGUUGUUUCGCUUAAAAAUAAAAAUUUUUACGAGAAACUCAUUUUUUUACAGGAUAUAAUUAUCCGCGAAAUAGAAUAUAUUUUUCUAUUUUCUUUCGAGCUUUUCGAAAGUGCCAUGAUCUUUACUCCGUUAAUUUUACACUCGAUUUGCGACUCGCACGUUCUCGAAGUAUAAAAAAUCUCAAAGUCCUCGAAGUAUAAAAAAUUUACCGCGUACUUUCUCUUAGAUCGUUAAGCGUUGUUAAAAUUGUCGCGCUCGCGAGUGUAUCGUCAGGAAUAUCGAAACUUAUCGCGACCUCUUCGUUAAAUCGUUGAACGUCGAUAAAGUGAAUACGGUCAGGAGUGAGUGGAGCGUGCGAUCGACGUGGGACAACAGCUGGACGCAAUGCAGGCUGGAGGAUGCUGGAUGGAUGCGGAGCAGCAUAGUGGUGGACUUCAUCAGAGAACCUGAACAUUGUUGGAUAUCAGCACGAA